rnacentral:rRNA from 1 species
CACGUAGGGGGCGAGCGUUGUUCGGAAUUAUUGGGCGUAAAGGGUGCGCAGGCGGCCGCUCAAGUCCGGUGUGAAAUACCUCAGCUCAACUGGGGGGACGCGCUGGAAACUGGGAGGCUGGAGUACAGGAGGGGGAGUUGGAAUUCCAGGUGUAGGGGUGAAAUCUGUAGAUAUCUGGAAGAACACCGGUGGCGAAGGCGAACUCCUGGCCAUGUACUGACGCUGAGGCACGAAGGCGUGGGGAGCAAACAGGUUUAGAUACCCUGGUAGUCCACGCAGUAAACGAUGUACACUAGGUGGUGGGUGGUAGCACUCAGUACCGUAGCAAACGCGUUAAGUGUACCGCCUGGGGAGUAUGCUCGCAAGGGUGAA